rnacentral:rRNA from 1 species
AGUGAACGCUGGCGGUAGGCCUAACACAUGCAAGUCGAACGGCAGAAGGGUGAUUGCUCGUUGAUACAGCUGCGGAGUGGUGAGUAAUUGCUGGGAAUCUGGCUGUUUACUUUUUAUUAGGUGAGGAAAUGGGGGCUAAUACGGUAUAAGCCCAGAGGGACUAAGGGGGGGAGCUUCGGACCUCACGAUAUUAGAUGAUCCUAUGUCGGAUUAGCUAGUUGGUGGGGUAAAGGCCUACCAAGGCGACGAUCCGUAACUGGUCUGAGAGGAUGAUCAGUCACACUGGAACUGAGACACGGUCCAGACUCCUACGGGAGGCAGCAGUGGGGAAUAUUGGACAAUGGGCGCAAGCCUGAUCCAGCCAUGCCGCGUGUGUGAAGAAGGUCUUCGGAUUGUAAAGCACUUUUAGUUGGGAAGAAGGGCAGUAAGUUAAUACCUUGCUGUUCUGACGUUACCAACAGAAUAAGCACCGGCUAACUUCGUG